ACGCGAAGAACCUUACCUGGUCUUGACAUCCACAGAAGUUUCCAGAGAUGGGAAUGUGCCUUCGGGAACUGUGAGACAGGUGCUGCAUGGCUGUCGUCAGCUCGUGUUGUGAAAUGUUGGGUUAAGUCCCGCAACGAGCGCAACCCUUAUCCUUUGUUGCCAGCGGUCCGGCCGGGAACUCAAAGGAGACUGCCAGUGAUAAACUGGAGGAAGGUGGGGAUGACGUCAAGUCAUCAUGGCCCUUACGACCAGGGCUACACACGUGCUACAAUGGCGCAUACAAAGAGAAGCGACCUCGCGAGACCAAGCGGACCUCAUAAAGUGCGUCGUAGUCCGGAUUGGAGUCUGCAACUCGACUCCAUGAAGUCGGAAUCGCUAGUAAUC
rnacentral:rRNA from 1 species